rnacentral:rRNA from 1 species
UGCAGUCGAGCGAAUGGAUUAAGAGCUUGCUCUUAUGAAGUUAGCGGCGGACGGGUGAGUAACACGUGGGUAACCUGCCCAUAAGACUGGGAUAACUCCGGGAAACCGGGGCUAAUACCGGAUAAUAUUUUGAACUGCAUGGUUCGAAAUUGAAAGGCGGCUUCGGCUGUCACUUAUGGAUGGACCCGCGUCGCAUUAGCUAGUUGGUGAGGUAACGGCUCACCAAGGCAACGAUGCGUAGCCGACCUGAGAGGGUGAUCGGCCACACUGGGACUGAGACACGGCCCAGACUCCUACGGGAGGCAGCAGUAGGGAAUCUUCCGCAAUGGACGAAAGUCUGACGGAGCAACGCCGCGUGAGUGAUGAAGGCUUUCGGGUCGUAAAACUCUGUUGUUAGGGAAGAACAAGUGCUAGUUGAAUAAGCUGGCACCUUGACGGUACCUAACCAGAAAGCCACGGCUAACUACGUGCCAGCAGCCGCGGUAAUACGUAGGUGGCAAGCGUUAUCCGGAAUUAUUGGGCGUAAAGCGCGCGCAGGUGGUUUCUUAAGUCUGAUGUGAAAGCCCACGGCUCAACCGUGGAGGGUCAUUGGAAACUGGGAGACUUGAGUGCAGAAGAGGAAAGUGGAAUUCCAUGUGUAGCGGUGAAAUGCGUAGAGAUAUGGAGGAACACCAGUGGCGAAGGCGACUUUCUGGUCUGUAACUGACACUGAGGCGCGAAAGCGUGGGGAGCAAACAGGAUU